GAUGAACGCUGGCGGCGUGCCUAAUACAUGCAAGUCGAGCGAACAGACGAGGAGCUUGCUCCUCUGACGUUAGCGGCGGACGGGUGAGUAACACGUGGAUAACCUACCUAUAAGACUGGGAUAACUUCGGGAAACCGGAGCUAAUACCGGAUAAUAUAUUGAACCGCAUGGUUCAAUAGUGAAAGACGGUUUUGCUGUCACUUAUAGAUGGAUCCGCGCCGCAUUAGCUAGUUGGUAAGGUAACGGCUUACCAAGGCAACGAUGCGUAGCCGACCUGAGAGGGUGAUCGGCCACACUGGAACUGAGACACGGCCCAGACUCCUACGGGAGGCAGCAGUAGGGAAUCUCCGCAAUGGGCGAAAGCCUGACGGAGCAACGCCGCGUGAGUGAUGAAGGUCUUCGGAUCGUAAAACUCUGUUAUUAGGGAAGAACAAAUGUGUAAGUAACUAUGCACGUCUUGACGGUACCUAAUCAGAAAGCCACGGCUAACUACGUG
rnacentral:rRNA from 1 species